rnacentral:rRNA from 1 species
AUUGAACGCUGGCGGCAGGCCUAACACAUGCAAGUCGAGCGGAGCGGCGGACGGGUGAGUAAUGCCUAGGAAUCUGCCUGGUAGGGGGGGAUAACGUCCGGAAACGGGCGCUAAUACCGCAUACCAUCAGAUGUGCCCAGAGGGGAUUAGCUAGUGGGGGGGGUAACGGCUCACCAAGGCGACGAUCCGUAGCUGGUUUGAGAGGACGACCAGCCACACUGGAACUGAGACACGGUCCAGACUCCUACGGGAGGCAGCAGUGGGGAAUAUUGCACAAUGGGCGCAAGCCUGAUGCAGCCAUGCCGCGUGUGUGAAGAAGGCCUUCGGGUUGUAAAGCACUUUCAGCGGGGAGGCGUUACCCGCAGAAGAAGCACCGGCUAACUCCGUGCCAGCAGCCGCGGUAAUUC